rnacentral:rRNA from 1 species
AUUGAACGCUGGCGGCAGGCCUAACACAUGCAAGUCGCACGAGUGGCGGACGGGUGAGUAAUGUCUGGGAAACUGCCUGAUGGAGGGGGAUAACUACUGGAAACGGUAGCUAAUACCGCAUACCAUCAGAUGUGCCCAGAUGGGAUUAGCUUGUUGGUGGGGUAACGGCUCACCCAGGCGACGAGCCCUAGCUGGUCUGAGUGGAUGAACAGCCACACGGGAACUGAGACACGGUCCAGACUCCUACGGGAGGAAGCAGGGGGGAAUAUUGCACAAUGGGCGCAAGCCUGAUGCAGCCAUGCAGCGUGUAUGAAGAAGGCCUUCGGGUUGUAAAGUACUAUCAGCGGGGAGGCGUUACCCGCAGAAGAAGCACCGGCUAACUCCGUGCCAGCCGCCGCGGUAAUAC